rnacentral:rRNA from 1 species
ACAAGCGGUGGAGUAUGUGGUUAAUUCGAUGCAACGCGAAGAACCUUACCUGGUCUUGACAUCCCGGAGACCCUUAGGAAACUAGGGGGUGCUUCCAUCUGGAAGAAUCUGGAGACAGGUGCUGCAUGGCUGUCGUCAGCUCGUGUCGUGAGAUGUUGGGUUAAGUCCCGCAACGAGCGCAACCCUUGCCUUUAGUUGCCAGCAGUUCGGCUGGGCACUCUAAAGGGACUGCCGGUGUUAAACCGGAGGAAGGUGGGGAUGACGUCAAGUCCUCAUGGCCUUUAUGACCAGGGCUACACACGUACUACAAUGGCCGAUACAAAGGGCAGCGACACUGCGAGGUGAAGCCAAUCCCGUAAAAUCGGUCUCAGUCCGGAUUGGAGUCUGCAACUCGACUCCAUGAAGUUGGAAUCGCUAGUAAUCGUGGAUCAGCCAAGCCGCGGUGAAUACGUUCCCGGGCCUU